ensembl:lncRNA
AAGCCUGAGCUCCCUCUAGUGGAUGCUGCUUUGAGACUCCAGUAUGCCCUGGGGCAAAGUGAUCUUCCUGCAGUUUCCAAAGAUUUGAUCCUUAGAGUUCCUUCUAAGCCUGGGCUGAAAGUGUGGUCCAGGCUGCUUUCCUUCCCAGUAGCCCUGUGAUAGGAGGGGUGUCAGUCUGCAACUAGAGGGCCUCAACAUGGUUAUUCAAGAUGUCUUGUGGUAUAGUUGCUCCACCAUCUUCCCAUACUGGAAAAGCGGAGACACCAAGAUGCACAGCUGACUCCAGAAUUUUGCUCCUGCUUCUAGGAUAGGCAAGAUGGCCAGUUAUCACCCUCCUUGUGCUCAGAAUUCUGCCAGGUGGCAGAAGCCACCUGUUCUAGGAGAGCCUUCUCUUGGGACAAGUAUGUACAUUAUAAAUGAAAAGCUUAUUUUUAGCACCCUGAAUCCAUCAGAGACCACCAAAGUGGCCUUCAUUACCCAUUCUAGCUCAGCAUGACUGGAGGGCAGAGAUGGUAGGAAAACCUCUUGAGAAACUGACACAUCUUCCUCCAAAAUUGGAUCUUUGCCUGCUUCAACUCUCAUCUCUGUUUGCCAAAUAAAUAUUUAGGUACCUAAAACCUGGCAGAGUUUUAGCUCUGAGGACCCAGCAAUAAUCAAGAGACCCCAUGCCAGCCCUAUGGUUCUCAUAAUCGGUGAGGAGGAUAUCACAAAAUAACCACAGAUUUUGAAAUGAUCGAAAGUGCAGUGACCCUCAUAAUCUCUCCUGACACCUCGGCUCCAGCCUCAGUCUCAGUUUCUGUGCCCAUUUGAAGAAGUUUUGUUUCAAGUCCUUCGUGUCUGAGUCCCUCUGUGUCACCUGUAUCGUGACCAAAAAGUUGGUCGACGUAGAGGACACCAACACCUCUGGGACUGUCUCCAUGACAACACAUCAGCAUAUCCUGCCCUCAGAGCCCUGGAGACCCUACCCUACAUUCGUGUACCACUUAUAAUAAUCAUUCUUGAUAUUCUGUAACUGAUUAUUCAGCAUCUUGAAAUCAUGAGAAAAUUAAAGACCAAUGUUGUUUACAUUUCCCCUGUGGUCUGACUUUUGUGGGUGCUUAAAAGUCAUAUUAUGAAC